rnacentral:rRNA from 1 species
GAUGAACGCUGGCGGCGUGCCUAAUACAUGCAAGUCGAGCGAACAGACGAGGAGCUUGCUCCUCUGACGUUAGCGGCGGACGGGUGAGUAACACGUGGAUAACCUACCUAUAAGACUGGGAUAACUUCGGGAAACCGGAGCUAAUACCGGAUAAUAUAUUGAACCGCAUGGUUCAAUAGUGAAAGACGGUUUUGCUGUCACUUAUAGAUGGAUCCGCGCCGCAUUAGCUAGUUGGUAAGGUAACGGCUUACCAAGGCAACGAUGCGUAGCCGACCUGAGAGGGUGAUCGGCCACACUGGCACUGAGACACGGUCCAGACUCCUACGGGAGGCAGCAGUAGGGAAUCUUCCGCAAUGGGCGAAAGCUUGACGGAGCAAAGCCGCGUGAGUGAUGAAGGUCUUCGGAUCGUAAAACUCUGUUAUUAGGGAAGAACAAAUGUGUAAGUAACUAUGCACGUCUUGACGGUACCUAAUCAGAAAGCCACGGCUAACUACGUG